ACUCCUACGGGAGGCAGCAGUGGGGAAUAUUGCACAAUGGGCGCAAGCCUGAUGCAGCCAUGCCGCGUGUAUGAAGAAGGCCUUCGGGUUGUAAAGUACUUUCAGCAGUGAGGAAGGUGGGUAUGUUAAUAGCAUACUCAUUUGACGUUAGCUGCAGAAGAAGCACCGGCUAACUCCGUGCCAGCAGCCGCGGUAAUACGGAGGGUGCGAGCGUUAAUCGGAAUUACUGGGCGUAAAGCGCAUGCAGGUGGUUUGUUAAGUCAGAUGUGAAAGCCCGGGGCUCAACCUCGGAAUUGCAUUUGAAACUGGCAAACUAGAGUACUGUAGAGGGGGGUAGAAUUUCAGGUGUAGCGGUGAAAUGCGUAGAGAUCUGAAGGAAUACCGGUGACGAAGGCGGCCCCCUGGACAGAUACUGACACUCAGAUAGCGAAAGCGUGGGGAGCAAACAGGAUUAGAUACCCUGGUAGGCUCU
rnacentral:rRNA from 1 species